rnacentral:lncRNA from 1 species
CGGCAAUACAAAGGAUUUUGUUUCCAGAGAUCUGUGGACGUGUCAGGAUGGUGGCUCGUGGGGAGCUAUUUCAUGUCACAACACGACCCAGAUUUCUGGACCUGGAAAAACGGAAAAUCUUGAGCACUAGGUUGAUGAAUUCUUGUAUCCCAGUUGGGAAUCGGGAAGGAAAGUAGUGAGAAAAUGACCAUUCCCAAGCUUCGGCGGUUUCCUCGUGGUUUUCGAAAAAUUACAGGAAUGUU